UUAGGAGAGGUGCUAGGUUACCCCGAACUACUUAGGGAAGCUGCUAGCAUAACUCUAAGCUGCUAAUAACUGAAUCAUAGAAAACUCAAAUAAAGAAACGGACAUAUCCAGAAAUAAAGUAGACAGUGUGAUUAGCAAGUUGGAAACGAGUUAUUUUUGGGAGGUGUUUAGGGUUUCCCGACGUGCUUGCUUCAGGUACUUGUUAAAAUUUGACAUGCUUACUUAAGUGAAAAGGACUUUUAAAGGCUAAAAGCAUAAUUAAGUAGGUCAAUAUAUGAAUAUUGAAAGUUUUAAAACUAAAUUGAAAUAUGUUAGAGUUUAAUAGGUUAAAAUGUGAAUAUGAAAAGUUUAAAAACAAAAUUCAGUUUAGUCCUUCAUAUUUUCCACCUCCUUACCUAAACCCUCCAUGUGUCACCUAGCUAUGCAUGAUUAAAGUGUUUAAUAGGUUAAAGUGUGAAUAUGGAAAGUUUAAAAACAAAAUUCAGUUUAGUCCUUCAUAUUUUCCACCUCCUUACCUAAACCCUCCAUGUGUCACCUAGCUAUGCAUGAAAGAAACAACAAAGCAAAUGAAAGACGAGUUAUCUUCUUCAACCCACCUUAUUGUCGUAGCUUACACCUUUGAAAAACCAAAAUCUUGUUUUGUCUUUCUUCCACCAAAUUCAAGCCAAAAUCUCACCAAAUCAACUUCUUUCUUUAACCAAAAUUCACCCUAAGAUCAAGAACUAAAGAAAGAGCCAUAUAUUGAAGAAAUUGAAGAAGAAAAGUUUAGAGUUCUAUAUACACCAAGCUUGAAAAUCAAAGGUGAGCUUAGAAAUGUGUAGGAGAUAGGAUUUUCUUAUUUCUUCAUGCAUGAAUUAGAAUUAUAAAGUUUUAAUUUUUAAUUUAUUUAAUCCUUCCCUAAGAUAUAAAUUUACUUAGGUGAAGGAACAUCAAAGGGAAAAGAGAUAGCUAGAGAGUAGAAGUGGAAAAGAAAGAGAAAUUCAAAAAAGGUUUGGUGUUUGUAUAAUUUUCUGUUUUCCUUUGAUUUUAUCAUGAAUAUGUGAAAUUAGGGGUUGAUUUUACUUGCCGAAAAUGUUGCUUUGAUUGUAUAAAUAUGUUAUAUGAAUGUUAAAAUGGUGUUUGAAAGGUUUAAAGUAAAGAAAUUUAACAUAAGAGCUAAAAGUGCAAACCUGGCAGGAUAAGUUUUAACAAGGCAGCAUGUGCUAACAACUUCGUAACUUACUGUGUAGUUAUUGAAAUUAGGCCUAAAAUAUACCAAAUGAAAGCUGAGACAAAGAGUUAAAACUUUCAUGAAUUAAGCAAAUUCUGAAUCUGUAGGUAAAAUGAUGUAAAUUGCAAGUGAACCUAAACUGGACACAAUGAUAGAGCAUUCGGAACAGAGUGUAUUGAUUAUACCAUAACUAAUUAUGUACUCAAUGAAAUUAGUUAAGACCAGUGCCAAAUGAAUCUUAAGAACUAUACCUAAAACUUUGUAGAAGACACUUAAACUUGAAUUUCUAUGAAAAUGCAUGAAUCUG
rnacentral:lncRNA from 1 species